UCAACCUGGGAACUGCAUUUGAAACUGGCGGACUAGAGUUGAGUAGAGGGGAGUGGAAUUUCAGGUGUAGCGGUGAAAUGCGUAGAUAUCUGAAGGAACACCAGUGGCGAAGGCGACUCCCUGGACUCAAACUGACGCUGAGGUACGAAAGCGUGGGUAGCAAACAGGAUUAGAUACCCUGGUAGUCCACGCUGUAAACGAUGUCAACUAGCCGUUGGUCCUAUUUACAGGAUUAGUGGCGCAGCUAACGCAUUAAGUUGACCGCCUGGGGAGUACGGCCGCAAGGUUAAAACUCAAAUGAAUUGACGGGGGCCCGCACAAGCGGUGGAGCAUGUGGUUUAAUUCGAUGCAACGCGAAGAACCUUACCUAC
rnacentral:rRNA from 1 species